rnacentral:lncRNA from 1 species
UGGAAAAUGAAAGCAAGUUCACGCUGACAAUGCCCGUAAAGAGCUUUGUGAAGCCAUGACAGUGCUCUUCAAUUUUAACAUGAAGAAGAGGGCAUGUGAGUUAGCAAGACUGGCCAGAGGCCAGAGCCCGGGGCCAGCAAACCUUUCCCUGCUGUGAGGUGGGCAAGUUAGUUGCUCCAAAAACAAGAUAAAAUGAUUGAGUUCUUUUCUCAAGCGGGAGUCGGAGUUUAUCUGCUCUGAGAGCCCCAGCAGCUACUAUUAAUGAGUGUCUGGAAUAUGUUCCUGGCAUUUCACCUACCCUCUCUCCAAUCCUUCCAAGAAACUCACAAAGCAGGGCUUUUUCUUGAACUUCUCUUCCUCACAACAGUUAAAUCAUCCAUUUAAAGAUGUCAAACAACCUCCGUGUUCUAAGCCAGACCAUCAACUUAACUUGUAAAACUACCAACUGUUGCUACACACAGGCAAAGGAAUUAAACUUGGUAGCUGAUCAUUUGAUUACAUCUAUCAGUCUACUGGAGGGCUUCAACGCAGAGUAGGUGGAAUUCAUGGUUCAAAUCAGAGUAUUAAUGGGAUCUGUUUGCACACCAAUACCUGAUCUCCUUGGCACAAAUACAGAGCUGAUUCUUAAAGCAUGUCCCCACAAUAAAGCUUUUCUUAAUCAUUCGUCACCUGCUUCCAAUAAUUCUGGCACUUACACAAACUUAUCAAGGGUUAUGUCUUUAUUUCUGUGGUGAGUUUCCUGUUGCUGU